rnacentral:rRNA from 1 species
GACAGAGGUGCCAAGCGUUAGGCGGAAUCACUGGGCUUAAAGCGUGUGUAGGCGGAUUGGUAAGUACCUUGUGAAAUCCCACGGCUCAACCGUGGAACUGCUUGGCAUACUGGAUGUCUUGAGCCAGCUAGGGGCUACCGGAACAAAUGGUGGAGCGGUGAAAUGCGUAGAUAUCAUUUGGAACGCCAAUGGUGAAAACAGGUAGCUGGGGCUGUGCUGACGCUGAGACACGAAAGCCAGGGGAGCGAACGGG